rnacentral:rRNA from 1 species
UUGAAAGGGAAACGAUUGAAGUCAGUCGUACCAGCGGGAAAUCAACCUUUCGAGUGGGGUUUUGGAGUUUUGAAGUGUGUCAAAACCUUUGAGAUUCCNAAAUUUUCGCUCUUUUGGUGUACUUUCUCGUGGGUAGGUUAACAUCGAUUUUGAUCAUCAUAAAAAGAUUGGAGGAAUGUAGCUUCGAUCUUGUAUUGAAGUGUUAUAGCCUUUGGUAAAUGUGAUGAUUAGGAUCGAGGAUUGCAACGAAUACCCUUUUGGGCUAUCCGCCUGAUCUCUGAUACGUGGUCUUGGUAUCGAAAGCUUGCUUAUGGUAUUAAGGUAUUACGGUCAAAAGGUUAGAACGGAUUACAUUCGUUAAGGAUGUUGACGUA